rnacentral:pre_miRNA from 1 species
CGUCAUUCGGGAAGGCCACCGUCGGGAUCGCCAAGUCGUCGCCGUCCCCGUCCGCCGCUUCGCCGUCGCCGAAGAUCGCCGGAGCACCGUCGCCGCCGUCGACCCGAUCUCCGCCGCCGCUUCUUCCUCGUCGCCG